CUCGAGAGCCUCAAAAGUCAGAAGUCCCAGUUUUUUUAGCAAGUAGGAACGCCUUGCAAGCAUCACAAACUCUGAAAGAUCACAAGGUCAAACGUAAGACUACUUCAGCGGAGCGAGGAGACAAGAUCAAACGUAAGGCUACUUCAGCUAGCGUAAGGCUACUUGCGAUCUUUCAGAGCUUUGCUAGCGGAAGCAUAUCCCUGAAGCCAAAGCCUUGGGUCUCCGCUCCAUCCUGAUCCUGAAGCGCACAAGGAGGAGGUCACCACAGGUUCAAAUCCCUUCGGAUCUACAUCAACUACAAGCCAGGUAUAGUUGUUGUUCUCUGGUUUUGAUGGGUAAUAGGAGCAAGGAGGACAUCCAAAGUUGAAGUUCAGAUCCAGCUUAUUGUCAACAGGAACAAGCUUACACACUCUCGCCCAUACAACAAGACCAGCCUAGCACAAGCACCGUACGCAAAAUAAAUUUUCUCCUGGAAGGACGAGCCUCUUAAUUUGUGACAACGACAAGGUCUGGCGAGCAGGAAGUGGUCAUUCUAUUGAUAUUUGAGUAAGUAUACAACUAGGCGGCCACCCAUCAGAAGCCACGUAUGCUGGUGGUUCUCUGGUUUUGAUGUGUAAAAGGAAGGAGGAUUCUUCAAGUUGAAGAUCAAAUCCAGCUACGUUUCAUCAACAACAAGCUAGCACGCUCUCAGUCGUACCUAUGGCCCCAUGAGGGUUCAGGAGCUCCAUGGUUAAGCUUCGAUGACAAGUUGACAACCUCAACAGCCAAGUCAUGAGGUCCCUAGUUUUUUGUGAGGAUCCAUGAGAUUAUUCCUAUGGUUUCAGAUUCAGAAAAGCACAAGGAGGUCCCCAACAUUGAUUGGAUCUAAGCCAUUA